GACGAACGCUGGCGGCGCGCCUAACACAUGCAAGUCGAACGAGCGAGAGAGAGCUUGCUUUCUCGAGCGAGUGGCGAACGGGUGAGUAACGCGUGAGGAACCUGCCUCAAAGAGGGGGACAACAGUUGGAAACGACUGCUAAUACCGCAUAAGCCCACAGUGCCGCAUGGCACAGAGGGAAAAGGAGCAAUCCGCUUUGAGAUGGCCUCGCGUCCGAUUAGCUAGUUGGUGAGGUAAUGGCCCACCAAGGCGACGAUCGGUAGCCGGACUGAGAGGUUGAACGGCCACAUUGGGACUGAGACACGGCCCAGACUCCUACGGGAGGCAGCAGUGGGGAAUAUUGCACAAUGGGGGAAACCCUGAUGCAGCGACGCCGCGUGGAGGAAGAAGGUCUUCGGAUUGUAAACUCCUGUUGUUGAGGAAGAUAAUGACGGUACUCAACAAGGAAGUGACGGCUAACUACGUGCCAGCAGCCGCGGUAAAACGUAGGUCACAAGCGUUGUCCGGAAUUACUGGGUGUAAAGGGAGCGCAGGCGGGAAGACAAGUUGGAAGUGAAAUCCAUGGGCUCAACCCAUGAACUGCUUUCAAAACUGUUUUUCUUGAGUAGUGCAGAGGUAGGCGGAAUUCCCGGUGUAGCGGUGGAAUGCGUAGAUAUCGGGAGGAACACCAGUGGCGAAGGCGGCCUACUGGGCACCAACUGACGCUGAGGCUCGAAAGUGUGGGUAGCAAACAGGAUUAGAUACCCUGGUAGUCCACACUGUAAACGAUGAUUACUAGGUGUUGGAGGAUUGACCCCUUCAGUGCCGCAGUUAACACAAUAAGUAAUCCACCUGGGGAGUACGACCGCAAGGUUGAAACUCAAAGGAAUUGACGGAAGGG
rnacentral:rRNA from 1 species